rnacentral:tRNA from 1 species
GGAGAGGUACCCAAGUGGCCAAAGGGGGCAGACUGUAAAUCUGCUGGCGGACGCCUUCGCUGGUUCAAAUCCAGCCCUCUCCACCA